rnacentral:rRNA from 1 species
UACGAAGGGGGCUAGCGUUGCUCGGAAUGACUGGGCGUAAAGGGCGCGUAGGCGGUUUGUACAGUCAGGUGUGAAAUUCCCGGGCUCAACCUGGGGGCUGCACUUGAUACGUAGGAACUUGAGUGGGGAAGAGGGUCGUGGAAUUCCCAGUGUAGAGGUGAAAUUCGUAGAUAUUGGGAAGAACACCGGUGGCGAAGGCGGCUCACUGGCUCAUUACUGACGCUCAGGCGCGACAGCGUGGGGAGCGAACAGG